rnacentral:lncRNA from 1 species
GAUCGGUGCUCGCGUCACUUGGGCGGCCGAGAUCGGCGCGGAUGGGGCUGGGCGGUGAGUCGGGAGCUGUGGGGUCAGGCACUGGGUUGGGGAGAGGCUGUGGGACAGAGCCGCGGCUUUAACAGGGCUGGGAAAGCGGAGAACGACUGGGGAGCUACAGCGAUAGCGGAAUGGCGCUGAGGCGGUGUUCGUGCGUCUGGGAACACGGGCCGUGGAGCUGCGGGCACCGGAGGCAUCCGAAGGGAAGUUACACUCUGGCAGUGCUGUCUCCAAAGGCUCCUGAAUGGCUCCGGUUAAAAUCAGCCACUCUGCCUGCAUGGAGCUGUUGACAACACAGAACCAGAACCAGGCCCUGAGGCCCAGAGCUGGCACGAGCACCCUGGGGCAUCACCUGGAGCUGCUGGCCAAGGAUGUGGGAGGUCCUGCAGUGCCAGGUGAGUGAAUCUGCACAGCUGUGUCCUGGGCUGGCUCCCAGCCACUGUGGGCAGCAGGGCAGGGGGGAAUUCUGUCCCUCUCCUCUGCUCAGGUGAGAGCCCACCUGCAGAGCUGCUCCAGCUCUGGGACCCCCAGCAUCAGAAGAGUGUGGAGCAACUGGAAUGAGUGCAGAGGAAGCUGUGGAGAUCCUCUUGAGGGCUGGAGCCCCUCUACUGUGGAGACGGGCUGGGACAUCCAGGGCUGUUCAGCCUGGAGAUGAGAAGGUUCUGAGAAC